GACGAACGCUGGCGGCGUGCUUAACACAUGCAAGUCGAACGGAAAGGCCCUGCUUUUGUGGGGUGCUCGAGUGGCGAACGGGUGAGUAACACGUGAGUAACCUGCCCUUGACUUUGGGAUAACUUCAGGAAACUGGGGCUAAUACCGGACGGGAGCUCCUGCUGCAUGGUGGGGGUUGGAAAGUUUCGGCGGUUGGGGAUGGACUCGCGGCUUAUCAGCUUGUUGGUGGGGUAGUGGCUUACCAAGGCUUUGACGGGUAGCCGGCCUGAGAGGGUGACCGGCCACAUUGGGACUGAGAUACGGCCCAGACUCCUACGGGAGGCAGCAGUGGGGAAUAUUGCACAAUGGGCGGAAGCCUGAUGCAGCAACGCCGCGUGCGGGAUGACGGCCUUCGGGUUGUAAACCGCUUUCGCCUGUGACGAAGCGUGAGUGACGGUAAUGGGUAAAGAAGCACCGGCUAACUACGUG
rnacentral:rRNA from 1 species